UGGGGAAUCAUGGUCAAUGGGCGAAAGCCUGAACCUGCGACGCCGCGUGAGUGAUGAAGGUCUUCGGAUUGUAAACUCCUGUCAUGAGGGAUAAAUGGCCAGGGCACGAAUAGUGCCUUGGAAUGAUAGUACCUCAGGAGGAAGAGACGGCUAACUCUGUGCCAGCAGCCGCGGUAAUACAGAGGUCUCGAGCGUUGUUCGGAUUUACUGGGCGUAAAGGGAGCGUAGGCGGUUCGGUGUGUUGAAUGUGAAAUCCCACAACUCAACUGUGGAAUGGCAUUCAAAACUACUGGGCUAGAGUACUGGAGAGGAGAGCGGAAUUCUUGGUGUAGCGGUGAAAUGCGUAGAGAUUAGGAAGAACACCGGUGGCGAAGGCGGCUUACUGGACGAGUACUGACGCUCAGGUACGAAAGCGUGGGGAGCAAACA
rnacentral:rRNA from 1 species